rnacentral:rRNA from 1 species
AACGAACGCUGGCGGCAGGCCUAACACAUGCAAGUCGAGCGCGCCCUUCGGGGUGAGCGGCGGACGGGUGAGUAACGCGUGGGAACGUGCCCUUUUCUACGGAAUAGCCUCGGGAAACUGAGAGUAAUACCGUAUACGCCCUUUGGGGGAAUGAUUUAUCGGAAAAGGAUCGGCCCGCGUUGGAUUAGGUCGUUGGUGGGGUAAUGGCCUACCAAGCCGACGAUCCAUAGCUGGUUUGAGAGGAUGAUCAGCCACACUGGGACUGAGACACGGCCCAGACUCCUACGGGAGGCAGCAGUGGGGAAUCUUAGACAAUGGGGGCAACCCUGAUCUAGCCAUGCCGCGUGAGUGAUGAAGGCCUUAGGGUUGUAAAGCUCUUUCAGCUGGGAAGAUAAUGACGGUACCAGCAGAAGAAGCCCCGGCUAACUCCGUG